AGGAGGAACAACCACAGUGGAGGCGGUCAGCCCUGGAGCCCUGGAUUCAGCUCCUGCAGCAACUAGGGAGCUCUCAGUCUGCAGGGGCCUGGAUGCUCCGGGGGUGG
rnacentral:pre_miRNA from 1 species